rnacentral:rRNA from 1 species
CUACAGAGGGUGCGAGCGUUAAUCGGAAUUACUGGGCGUAAAGCGCGCGUAGGCGGUUCGGCAAGUCGGGUGUGAAAUCCCCGGGCUCAACCUGGGAAUUGCAUCCGAAACUGCCGGGCUAGAGUGUGGUAGAGGGAAGCGGAAUUCCGCAUGUAGCGGUGAAAUGCGUAGAUAUGCGGAGGAACACCAGUGGCGAAGGCGGCUUCCUGGACCAACACUGACGCUGAGGUGCGAAAGCGUGGGGAGCAAACAGGAUUAGAUACCCUAGUAGUCC